rnacentral:rRNA from 1 species
CGACUCUCUGGUCUGUCACUGACACUGAGGUGCGAAAGCGUGGGUAGCAAACAGGAUUAGAUACCCUGGUAGUCCACGCCGUAAACGAUGACUGCUAGCCGUUGGGAGCCUCGAGCCCUUAAUGGCUCAGUUAACGCGAUAAGUCGACCGCCUGGGGAGUACGGCCGCAAGGUUAAAACUUCAAUGAAUUGACGGGGG